GCGCAGCAGUCGCGAAUAGUCUACAAUGGACGAAAGUCUGAUAGUGCGGCGCCGUGUGUGCGAUUAAUUCCUUCGGGAUGUAAAGCACUUUUCUAUGAGAUAAAAGCUCUUUAGGUUAAUAGCUUAUUGAGACGGAUAUUAUUAUAGGAAUAAGCUCCGGCUAACUCCGUGCCAGCAGCCGCGGUAAUACGGAAGGAGCGAGCGUUGUCCGGAUUUACUAGGCGUAAAGGGCUAGUAGGCGACUAAUUAAGUUAUAUGUUAAAUCCCACGGCUCAACUGUGGUCCUGCAUGUAAUACUGGUUAGAUAGAGUACUGUAGAGGAAGGCAGAAUUCCUGGAGUAGCGGUGGAAUGCGCAGAUAUCA
rnacentral:rRNA from 1 species